rnacentral:rRNA from 1 species
UACGAAGGGGGCUAGCGUUGCUCGGAAUUACUGGGCGUAAAGCGCACGUAGGCGGCUUUCUAAGUCGGGGGUGAAAUCCUGGAGCUCAACUCCAGAACUGCCUUCGAAACUGGAGAGCUCGAGUCCGGGAGAGGUGAGUGGAACUGCGAGUGUAGAGGUGAAAUUCGUAGAUAUUCGCAAGAACACCAGUGGCGAAGGCGGCUCACUGGACCAUUACUGACGCUGAGGCUCGAAAGCUAGGGGAGCAAACAGG